UUCAGUACCGUGUGUACGUCUUGGUGAUGUUGAUUCUAUAUCGUGUUCAUCUUGCCAUCGUGUUCAUCUAGACAUGAUUCCUGAUUGAGCAGUGUUUGGGUGAGAGAUGAUUUAAUUAAAAUAAAUAUUCAAUUGGUGAACCUACUUAAAUAUGAAUGUUCGAUCAGGUCAGUAUAACAAACAUACACGAUCAGCAACCUAUCGACGCGAAUACAUGAAGAUGGUCGGGCGACGAACCUGAUCGGAGCGAUCUUCUCGUCUACGGAAGCCGACGAGAUGAACAGCCUUGGCGUAUACGUACUGUGGCCGGCGACGAUCACGUACGAAGGGCGGCGCCCAGGCCGCGAUGCGUCGUCGCGCGGAAGGGGGUGCGGGGGAUCGACGGUAGUUGGGUUUAGGUACAAGUGGGCCCUAGAUUUUGUAAUUUGGUAACUCAAAAUAGCAAACUAUUGGAGAUGACAUAAAAUUUCAUUUGCCAUCUAUUUUAGCAACUUGCCAAAACUCAAGAUUUGGCAAGCCAAAUUUUGCCAAUUGUUGGAGAUGCUCU
rnacentral:lncRNA from 1 species